UACGUAGGUGGCGAGCGUUGUCCGGAUUUACUGGGCGUAAAGAGCGCGCAGGCGGUCGUACAAGUCGCGUGUGAAAGCCCCCGGCUCAACUGGGGAGGGUCACGCGAUACUGUUCGACUCGAAGGCAGGAGAGGGAAGUGGAAUUCCUGGUGUAGCGGUGAAAUGCGCAGAUAUCAGGAGGAACACCGGUGGCGAAGGCGGAUCUCUGGGCCAUUACUGACGCUGAGGAGCGAAAGCGUGGGGAGCAAACAGG
rnacentral:rRNA from 1 species